UCUGAUCUAUGGAUGAGUGUAGGAACAUCUACAGCGACCCAAUUGUGGCAGACACCACCAGGAAUAACAAAAUUGUUCAAGUCUUCUGCAUCUUCUUCAAUGAUAGCAGCAGCUUCCUCUUCUUCAGGUUGAUCGGCGUGGAUAAAUCCUCCACUGGUGAACAAACCGUGCUCAUUGCAUGCCCCAGAAUCAAAGCCAAUGCCAGCCCGGGAUCGGUUAUCUUCAAG
rnacentral:lncRNA from 1 species